GCUCGGGUGGCGAAACGGCAGACGCAGGGGUCUUAAAAACCCCAGGGGGCGACCCCGUGCGGGUUCGAGUCCCGCCCCGAGCA
rnacentral:tRNA from 1 species